rnacentral:rRNA from 1 species
AGUGAACGCUGGCGGUAGGCCUAACACAUGCAAGUCGAACGGCAGCACAGUAAGAGCUUGCUCUUACGGGUGGCGAGUGGCGGACGGGUGAGGAAUACAUCGGAAUCUACUUUUUCGUGGGGGAUAACGUAGGGAAACUUACGCUAAUACCGCAUACGACCUACGGGUGAAAGCAGGGGAUCUUCGGACCUUGCGCGAUUGAAUGAGCCGAUGUCGGAUUAGCUAGUUGGCGGGGUAAAGGCCCACCAAGGCGACGAUCCGUAGCUGGUCUGAGAGGAUGAUCAGCCACACUGGAAGUGAGACACGGUCCAGACUCCUACGGGAGGCAGCAGUGGGGAAUAUUGGACAAUGGGCGCAAGCCUGAUCCAGCCAUACCGCGUGGGCGAAGAAGGCCUUCGGGUUGUAAAGCCAUUUUGUUGGGAAAGAAAAGCAGCAGGUUAAUACCCCGCUGUUCUGACGGUACCCAAAGAAUAAGCACCGGCUAACUUCGUG